AGCACCUGCCAAAUAUUAUUGGACUGAGUUUCAAAUGAGGAAUACUUUAAACAUUUUUUUUUUUUUCGUUAAAAACCUGUACCAGUUCAAGAGCUUGGCCCCUGAACUUAAUAACCAUUUGUACUCUUGCAUAGUGGAUAUAAAAUACUAGCACUGGAUAUAUGCCCACGUUUGUGCACACAAACUGCAAAGCAAAGCAUCAGAAAUAUAUCCUUCUCCAAGUACUUCCUUUGGGGCUGAUUGUUCAGGAUAAGCAAUAUGCAUGAUAUAACUGGUGCAUGUAACAGUAAGUGCAACCCUCUGCAAAUUUGAAUUUAAAGACACUAACUUGAUACUGAGGCUGAACUUUGUAGAUGAGUAAUCUAUGGUAUUUUUAAUUAUAACCAUUUCUGUGGUCUGAAUAUGAGUACAGCUGAUUCUGUCAUGUGACACUACAGGUUGGACUUUUAAAUGAGACAUUAUUGCAUUUGAUUGAGGCAGUUAUGUUUCUUGAAAGUUGUAUUUCAAAUCAGACACAAGAGGCAAUAAUUAGAGGCUGAGAGCUUUGAAAAUAUGUACCAUUUAUUUAUUUAUUUUUGAGAAACCAAGAUUUAAAACACAUGUUCCGUCUGCCUCUCUCUAAUUUACUUCCUUUUCCCUAAUGAACAUUUGUCAACUGUCACACACUUCAAUUUUCUUUAGCUAUGUCUAUCAAGAUUUAAGUGAGACUUAUGUCGAAAUACCAGAACUAAUCUCACGAAGUGAAAACUAAUGAAGUUGAGUCAAUUCUGUGAUAUUUUAGGGAAAAUGGAGGUGCAAAUCAAUUUUCUUGAAAUGUAGGUUCUGACUCAACAGCAUUCACAAGGUCUUUACUAAAGGUCUGAUUGUGAGAAAUGCUGGUCAAAGGCACUCUUGAUAUAAUGGGCCAGAUGCCCAAGUGGAUUAACCUGAUGAAGAGCUUUAUACAGCCCGAGGAUCUUAUGGAAUGGUAACCAGCAUCAUCCAUGGCAUCUCAAAAUCAGACCACCAGAAGAUAGCAAAUGUCCUGGGUUCUUUUUAAGGCCAAUUUUCCAGUUGGUCAAAUGUGUUUUAAAAGUAACGUCUUUUUAGACAAAUGCAGACCUCUCCAAGGGAUCAAGUCAAUGGAUUAAUGUGGACAGAUCCUUAUAGGUUAAGGGAAAGGGCUUCUCAUUUUUAAAUCUACUACUUUUAAUCAUGACCAUACAAAAAAGCUGAAGAAAUAUGACAUGGUCCCUUGUAUAAACAAGAUCAUGAAUGUAAAGCUUAUAAUGCCACUGUGAAAUUUUAAUGCUUAUUUAUUAUGGUUAUGAUGAAACCUGUAUAAUAAAAUGAUGAUGAUAAUAAUAAUAGUAAUAAUAAUAAUAAUAAUAAUAAUAAUGAAUAGACAUCAGUGCCAAUAUGAUUCUACUAUUUUUCUACAUAUGCUUUAUUGUGGCAUUUUGUGUAGCUUGUGUUAUGUGUAAAGAAAUGUCAAUAAAAUCUUUGCUUCCUUUUGUCUGUA